CUGAAAUGAGAAUCAUAAAACCUACAUAUCCAUAAACCGACCGAGAUCUCCUAAGGCUUUACCUGUAAAAAGAUAGUCCACAUUUGGGAUCAGGGCCAGCAGGAAAGAUCCAGGUGAACACACUGGGAUUCAUCACGGAAAGAACUCAACCCAUGGAGAAUGAAGAGGAGCAAGACAGGAAAAUCACCCAUCUGGGAAUGGCAUGGAGCCAGGGGAGGCUCCCCAACCAUGGGGAAAUGGUGCUCACCAUUGGCCAGCCCCACCAAAAGCCAAACUAUAAGGAGGCAUCCAGCCAAACAGCCUCUUCAGUCUUGGAACAGCUUGGAAAAUGAAUCUGGAAGGACAAAUAGGUGAUCUACAGCAUAAUCUCCAUUAUAGUGUACUUUCUCUUCAUCCGGUUGAUUUGGUUUGGAUCUGUGUCCCCACCCAAAUCUCAUGUUGAACUGUAAUCUCCAGUGUUGGAGGUGGGGCCUCGUGGGAGGUGUUUGGAUCAUGAAGGCAGAUUCCUUAUGAAUGAUUUGGGCCAUCCCUUUGGUGAUGAGUGAGCUCUUGCUCUGAGUUGACAGGAGAUCUGGUCAUUCAAAAGUGUGUGACAUGCUCCCUGCCUCCACCUGCUCUUGCUCAUGCUUUUGCCAUGUGACUUGCCUGCCCCUUGUUCGCCUUCUGCCAUGAUUGUAAGCUUCCAGAAGCCUCCCUGGAAGCUGAGUAGUUGCCAGCACCAUGCUUCCUGUAAAGUCUGAAGAACUGUGAAUGAAUUAAACUUCUUUUCUUUAUAAAUUACUUUAUAAAUGGUAAAGGUAUUUCUUUACAGUAAUGCAAGAAUGCCCUAAUACACAGGUCCGAGAUCAAAGGAUAAAAAAUUA
rnacentral:lncRNA from 10 species